rnacentral:lncRNA from 1 species
AUAUAAUGUAAUCUCAAACUCCAUGCAAAUAAGUUCAUUUCCAUUCGAUAAAACUACGCCUACUAGAAGCAGAUCUGCCACUUUCAAAGGAUAAUACUCUUACUGGCAACGUUAAAAGAACGAUGCGUGAAUCUCACCCCUAGAUUAAUAUAUUUUUCAUUUCGCACACUUGUGCAUCUAUCUUCUUUCCAUUUUUCAUAACCAAAAUAUCCACACGUUUCUUCGAUUUACAACUUUAUACUUGUUACACGUAAACCUGUCAAUUAAAGAAUCCCUUUUAAGGAUUUAAUUUGUAUCCUAGAUUUCUCGUCAAGUUCAUUUUUUGUUGAGAAAUUUUUUCGAAUCAACAAGAGGUAAGGGUGAAGUUUGGAGCCAGGCACAACGUGGCUGAAACGGGAGAAAAAUUCAGUGUUCAUGUCAGAAUUUCAACCUUGUGGGAAUGGGGUUCUACUUUGCAGUUUUGGUUUUGGGCUUGUGGGAAUUUGUGGAAGCCUUGUAGGAAUACCAAAGUACAUAUUUCAAGGGGUUCUACUUUGCAGUUUUGGUUUCAGCCUUGAGGGACCUUUUAGGAGAAAAGUUGAGUCCUUUUGGUGAGAUUCUAGUGUUGGAAAACACAUUGCAAAUACGUAGGGUAGUGAUUAUGUCUGAGUGAGUUGGCAUAAGAAGUGAGAGAAAUUGAGGAUUGCACUUGGAGAAUAACUCAGUCACCAUCCCAAUCACCCAUAAUGUGUUUCCUAUUUUGGAUCGGAUCACCAUCCCCACACCCUAAAAAAAUUUAUAAGCAAAGGAACUAUAUUUAUUUUUGUCUGUUUCUUGAAAAACAAUUCUAACCAAAUCAUAACCAUUGUCAUUUUGAGAUUAUGAAUUAUGCUCUUCAAAGGAAUAUGGAGAUUAGGGUCAAAGAGAUGUAGGGGAUAUAUCAAUGUGAAGAAAAAUCUACCCGACUCUACCAAAGUAACUCAUGAUCAAUGCAAUGCACUUUAAUGAAGUAAUGACGAGUUCUAAAAUGGUAUAUAAAAUUUUAGAGCUUAUUAAUUAUGAGUUUUGCGACUUGAUUUCGAU